AGUUUAGCUUUGUCCACACAUAUUAUGAUGUUUUGUGUCUAUUGCUGCCUUUGGCAUAUUUAAUCAUCUAUGUGUCUGCCAUGAAUUUAACAUGAAUAUAUUCCUGUUUUUUGUUACUUCUCUUGGCUUGGAUCACUAUGUUUGUUCUACCUUUGCCUUUCAAUACAUCAAGGUGAGCUUCACACAUCGUUCCCUCUUUUAUUAUAUUCAGGCAAUAAAGGAUCAGUACACGCCCAAUCUUCUGUGGCCUCCUCUCAUAAGAACUUCUACAUCGUUGUAUGAAAAUAGCUUUUCUUUGUCCAUGUGAUUAUUUGGGGAUUUUUGCCCAUAAAAAUAGCUUCUGAUGCCAAUACCGAGAUGUUAUUGAUGCAUGGUUGGAUUGGAUAUUCACAGAACUUUAUACCAUAUACUUUGGGCAUUGCUGAAACAACUGAAUGUCAAAGGUGCUUAUGGGUUGUCCUACAAUUUGUGUGGAUGUAUUUAG